GCUGCUUUAGCUCAGUGGCUAGAGCGCUGCCUUUACACCGUUCGUUUCAUGAGACGAUAGCUUGUUAAACGGCAUAGGCCACAGGUUCGAUCCCUGUAAGCAGCA
rnacentral:tRNA from 1 species